UACGUAGGCAGCGAGCGUUGUUCGGAGUUACUGGGCGUAAAGCGUGCGUAGGCGGUUGUCUAAGUUUGGUGUGAAAUCUCCCGGCUUAACUGGGAGGGUGCGCCGAAAACUGGGUGACUGGAGUGUCGGAGAGGUAAGCGGAAUUCCUGGUGUAGCGGUGAAAUGCGUAGAUAUCAGGAGGAACACCGAUGGCGAAGGCAGGUCUCUGGGCUGACACUGACGCUCAUGCACGAAAGCGUGGGGAGCAAACAGG
rnacentral:rRNA from 1 species